rnacentral:lncRNA from 1 species
AGAGCACUCCUAACCCCCCGGGGCAAGGAGGGGAGGCCAGGCAGCCGGAAGGAAACUCCUGAGCUUUUUACGGAAUGCACAAGACAAAAGCCAUGUUUUGUUCAGUCCUUCAGAAGAUAGAAAUUGAACACCUGACUUGUGGACAGCACCUCUAAACACUGCAGAGAGAGAUUCAGAGAUGAAUAGCCCUGGCCCUUAGGGUUCUUGCGGUCACAAGCACCGUCCAGUAAGAGCAGCCCAUGGUUAUGAGUAACAAGAGCAGACACUACGGCAGGCACUUGGUUUAGGGACAUUGCCUUGUUUCAUCCUCACGGUGACUUCAGGAGGACAGUGCCAUCGUUACGCCGUUUAACAGAUGGUAAAACUGAGGCCCAGAGAGGGGAGUGCCUUGCUUCAGAUGACUCAGCAACGCAGUGGCUGAGCAAGGAUUUGAACUCAGGCAGAAUGGUGGCAGAGCCUGUUUGCCUAACUUCUAAAUUUCCCUAACUCUCUAGAACAGAGGGUAGUAGGAGUGCAGCAGACAGGACAACUAACCCUGCCUGGAAAAGUCAUGGUGGGCUUCCCGGAGGAGGCGUCCUUAGGCUGGGGCUUGAAGACGAGGUAUUUACCAGACAAAUAGUGGAGAAGAAGGCUGUCUUAAACAGAAAAAACUUCUUAUGUGGUCCUGGGUUCUGAGGGCCCAGCUCUUCUCACCCUCCUUCUCCGAGGAGUGGGGGAACGGAAGUGCAGAGCCUUCGUGUUUUACCCUCCUUCUCCGAGGAGUGGGGAACGGAAGUGCAGAGCCUUUAUGUUUUGUGACAGUGGAAUCCC